rnacentral:rRNA from 1 species
ACCAGCACCCCGAGUGGUCGGGACGAUUAUUGGGCCUAAAGCAUCCGUAGCCGGUUUUACAAGUCCCCCGUUAAAUCCAACUGCUUAACAGAUGGGCCGCGGAGGAUACUAUAAGACUAGGAGGCAGGAGAGGCAAGCGGUACUCAGUGGGUAGGGGUAAAAUCCGUUGAUCCAUUGAAGACCACCAGUGGCGAAGGCGGCCACCUGGACGAACACUGACGCUGAGGUGCGAAAGCGUGGGUAGCAAACAGGA